UUUAAAUAUAAUUUAUUCUCAAAAAAUAAUUUAUUUGAAAAAAAUAUUUGUUUGAUUUUAUUUGACUAAGAAACCUGAGGUUAAAAUGAUUGUUCCCUGUCGAAUUACGAUUUAAUUUAGCGGAAAUUAUUAAAUUUAGCCGUAAUUGAAAAUUAAACUGGCCAUAAUCAUAAUGCAACUGGCCAGUUAAUCUUCAAUGUGGUCCAAAAAUUGAAUAUAUUUGGCUAAAAUCUAAAUCCUAAUCAAAUCCAAAAUUUAUCUAUCAGCAGCCCACCUCAACCAAAAAUCUGGCCCAAUACCCGGCCCAUCCCCUUUUCCCCCUUCCCUUAAACCAGCGUAUAAACGCUGUUAAUACUCAAGACGACAACAACAACAUCAACCGCACCAACCGGACAACCCAAAAUUGAGACCCGACCCGACUCCAUUUUCCCUAUCCUUUACACGUCCAAACAGUAACAACAGCAUACGACCAUAUCCAACUACUCUCGCCUGUCCUCUCAAUCACCCUCGCCCGUCACUUCUUGUUGAAGCAGAGCAGAGCCCAACCUCUGGAAAAGAUGGUAAAGUUCAUGGACCUCCAUGUUCCAAGGAUGCUUGGCCCUUCAAACCAACAGAUUCAAGUGUAAUAGCCUCCAAUCCGUCAUUUUUCAUUCAAAUUGACUGAAAAAGGUGACCUCUCCCUCCUUUGUUUCUUUUCAUCAAUCAAUUUUAAGAUUUGGUCUUUCUAAAAUAAAAUUCAAAUUACAAAAUUGUGGAAAAGGUUGAAAGCUUCUCUAAGAAUCUGUGGCAGUCCAUUUUGCUUAUAAAAAGAGGUCUUUGUUCACCUUUUCAUGACCAUGGUUCAAGUAGGAAAAUUGGUGAUUUUUUUUAAAGUUUUAUCACACAUUCCGAUUCGCUAAGUUCUCGAUUCUCUUUGUUUCAACUGUUACUCUUCGUCGUUCGAAUUCGGAGUCGUAGUUAGCGGUAGAAUUGCUCCUCGACUCAGCUUCCUAGUUCAUUGCUCUGCAAAAGCGCGUUUGGGGUCUCAUUGCUUGACUCCAUUUCGUCCAAAUCAGAGAAGCGAACAAAUAUUGCAUCACAUAUCUUCAUCUAGCAGUCUAGUGCUUCUUUCCCCCUUUUUAGCUUUAUUUUGCUUUUGUAGAUGAUUAUUAUUAUUUUUGCUUAACAUUUUGCGGAUUAUUAUUUAAAAUGUGUUUUAUAUGUUUCUUGCUUGAAUUGGUGUGAAUACUUAAAUUUUAGCAAAUCUAAUUAUUUCCCUUCUACCUA